AUGGUGUGCAGAAAACAACUUUACCUUGGAAAGAACAACCAAAUGGACAAAGCUAAACAAAAACAUGAGCAGAGAUUAGAAGAAGGGGAAUGUCUUACUCCAUCUGUCUGUGAUCUAAAGAACCACUGUUCUGGAAAGAAAGUAAGGAGUCACUCAAGAGACAACGAUGGGAAACAAAAUCACUUCCAGGAUCGGAAAGUAAAGAUUGUUGGGUAUCAGGCGGGACAAGGAAUAUUGCCUGUUGAGGUGGUUGCUAUGAGGCUUUAA